GAUGAACGCUGGCGGCGUGCCUAAUACAUGCAAGUCGAGCGAACGGACGAGAAGCUUGCUUCUCUGAUGUUAGCGGCGGACGGGUGAGUAACACGUGUAUAACCUACCUAUAAUACUGGGAUAACUUCGGGAAACCGGAGCUAAUACCGGAUGAUAUUUUGAACCGCAUGGUUCAAAAGUGAAAGACGGUCUUUCUGUCACUUCUAGAUGGAUCCGCGCUGCAUUAGCUAGUUGGUAAGGUAACGGCUUACCAAGGCAACGAUGCAUAGCCGACCUGAGAGGGGGAUCGCCCACACUGGAACUGAGACACGGUCCAGACUCCUGCGGGAGGCAGCAGUAGGGAAUCUUACGCAAUGGGCGAAAGCCUGACGGAGCAACGCCGCGUGAGUGAUGAAGGUCCUCGGAUCGUAAAACUCUGUUAUUAGGGAAGAACAUAUGUGUAAGUAACUGUGCACAUCGUGACGGUACCUAAUCAGAAAGCCACGGCUAACUACGUG
rnacentral:rRNA from 1 species